UACGUAGGGGGCGAGCGUUGUCCGGAUUUAUUGGGCGUAAAAGGCUUGUAGGUGGCCACGCGAAGUAGGAUGUGAAAUCUCCCGGCUCAACUGGGAGGGGUCAUUCGAUACUGGCGGGCUCGAGGCCGGUAGGGGGAAGCGGAAUUCCCGGUGUAGUGGUGAAAUACGUAGAUAUCAGGAGGAACACCGGUGGCGAAGGCGGCGAUCUGGCCCAACACUGACACUGAGACCCAAAAGCGUGGGGAUCAAACAGG
rnacentral:rRNA from 1 species